rnacentral:tRNA from 1 species
UCCCGUUUAGCUCAGUUGGUAGAGCGCGUCACUAGUACCCCUAAAGUAGGGUUAUGACGAGGUCAGUCGUUCGAGUCGGCUAAUGGGAA